rnacentral:rRNA from 1 species
AACGACUCUCGGCAACGGAUAUCUCGGCUCACGCAUCGAUGAAGAACGUAGCAAAAUGCGAUACUUGGUGUGAAUUGCAGAAUCCCGUGAACCAUCGAGUUUUUGAACGCAAGUUGCGCCCGAAGCCAUUUGGUUGAGGGCACGUCUGCAUGGGCGUCACAC